GACGAACGCUGGCGGCGUGCUUAACACAUGCAAGUCGAACGGAAAGGCCCUGCUUGCAGGGUACUCGAGUGGCGAACGGGUGAGUAACACGUGGGUGAUCUGCCCUGCACUUCGGGAUAAGCCUGGGAAACUGGGUCUAAUACCGGAUAGGAGCCAUUUUUAGUGUGAUGGUUGGAAAGUUUUUUCGGUGUAGGAUGAGCUCGCGGCCUAUCAGCUUGUUGGUGGGGUAAUGGCCUACCAAGGCGGCGACGGGUAGCCGGCCUGAGAGGGUGGACGGCCACAUUGGGACUGAGAUACGGCCCAGACUCCUACGGGAGGCAGCAGUGGGGAAUAUUUCACAAUGGGCGCAAGCCUGAUGCAGCGACGCCGCGUGGGGGAUGACGGCCUUCGGGUUGUAAACUCCUUUCGCUAGGGACGAAGCUUUUUGUGACGGUACCUAGAUAAGAAGCACCGGCUAACUACGUG
rnacentral:rRNA from 1 species